rnacentral:rRNA from 1 species
GACGAACGCUGGCGGCGUGCCUAAUACAUGCAAGUCGAACGCAUUUUCUUUCACCGUAGCUUGCUACACCGAAAGAAAAUGAGUGGCGAACGGGUGAGUAACACGUGGGUAACCUGCCCAUCAGCGGGGGAUAACACUUGGAAACAGGUGCUAAUACCGCAUAAUUCCAUUUACCGCAUGGUAAAUGGAUGAAAGGCGCUUUUGCGUCACUGAUGGAUGGACCCGCGGUGCAUUAGCUAGUUGGUGGGGUAACGGCCUACCAAGGCUGCGAUGCAUAGCCGACCUGAGAGGGUGAUCGGCCACACUGGGACUGAGACACGGCCCAGACUCCUACGGGAGGCAGCAGUAGGGAAUCUUCGGCAAUGGACGCAAGUCCGACCGAGCAACGCCGCGUGAGUGAAGAAGGUUUUCGGAUCGUAAAACUCUGUUGUUAGAGAAGAACAAGGAUGAGAGUGGAAAGUUCAUCCCUUGACGGUAUCUAACCAGAAAGCCACGGCUAACUACGUG